rnacentral:rRNA from 1 species
AGAGUUUGAUCAUGGCUCAGAACGAACGCUGGCGGCAGGCCUAACACAUGCAAGUCGAACGGACCCUUCGGGGUUAGUGGCAGACGGGUGAGUAACGCGUGGGAACCUACCUUUGGGUACGGAACAACACAGAGAAAUUUGUGCUAAUACCGUAUGUGAUCUUCGGAUUAAAGAUUUAUCGCCUAAGGAUGGGCCCGCGUUAGAUUAGCUAGUUGGUAAGGUAACGGCUUACCAAGGCGACGAUCUAUAGCUGGUCUGAGAGGAUGAUCAGCCACACUGGGACUGAGACACGGCCCAGACUCCUACGGGAGGCAGCAGUGAGGAAUAUUGGACAAUGGGGGCAACCCUGAUCCAGCCAUGCCGCGUGAGUGAUGACGGCCUUAGGGUUGUAAAGCUCUUUCGCUAGGGAAGAUAAUGACGGUACCUAGUAAAGAAGCCCCGGCUAACUUCGUGCCAGCAGCCGCGGUAAUACGAAGGGGGCUAGCGUUGUUCGGAAUCACUGGGCGUAAAGCGCGCGUAGGCGGAUUGAUAAGUCAGGGGUGAAAUCCCGAGGCUCAACCUCGGAACUGCCUUUGAUACUGUCAGUCUUGAGUUCGAGAGAGGUGAGUGGAAUACCGAGUGUAGAGGUGAAAUUCGUAGAUAUUCGGUGGAACACCAGUGGCGAAGGCGGCUCACUGGCUCGAUACUGACGCUGAGGUGCG